rnacentral:misc_RNA from 1 species
CGCCCAACUUCCCGCGGUUGCCGUUGUCUGCACGGUGCACGCGCGCGCCGGUCAGCGUCGCCGUCAGACGACCAACGUGUGAAAUGCACUACUGCUAUGCUAAAAAAACACGGUCCGUUCUUUGUCUGGAUCCGGUUUACUGUGCUAGUAGAUUUAAAGUGGAUUCAUCUGCCGUCGUUUUCCUCAUUGUUCGUCUCAAGCAUCCAUCCGUAGAUAAUUUAAUUUUGUCGCUUUCUGUUUUUUUUUCUUUUCUUGAAAACGACAUUUUUUCCCUCUUCAUUACUGAUGCAUGUAAGAGAGCUGAGAAGGCAAGGAGGAGGCAGGAAGGGAGGGGUGCUCUGCUCACUAGGGUCGACGACGGUGGAGCUG